CCUACGGGAGGCAGCAGUGGGGAAUAUUGCACAAUGGGGGAAACCCUGAUGCAGCGACGCCGCGUGAGUGAAGAAGUAAUUCGUUAUGUUAAGCUCUAUCAGCAGGGAAGAAAAUGACGGUACCUGAGUAAGAAGCCCCGGCUAACUACGUGCCAGCAGCCGCGGCAAUACGGCGGGGGCAAGCGUUAUCCGGAUUUACUGGGGGUAAAGGGGGGGUAGAAGGCUGUGCAAGUCUGGAGUGAAAGGCGGGGGGUCAACCCCCGGACUGAGUUGGAAACUGGACGGCUGGAGUGCAGGAGAGGUAAGUGGAAUUCCUAGUGUAGCGGUGAAAUGCGUAGAUAUUAGGAGGAACACCAGUGGCGAAGGCGGCUUACUGGACUGUAACUGACGUUGAGGCUCGAAAGCGUGGGGAGCAAACAGGAUUAGAUACCCCAGUAGUC
rnacentral:rRNA from 1 species